GGAAUAGACUGGGAGAUGGAGGCAAUUGGACACAUCAAGAGUACAAGGUUCCGUUUCUGUGGGGAUCUGGAUUGCCCGGACUGGGUUUUGGCAGAGAUUAGCACCUUGGCUAAAAUAUCCUCAGUUAAAUUGAAGUUGAUCUGUGCCCAAGUCCUGAAGGCACAGCUGGGAGAAGCAAUUGAUUAUGAAAAGAUACUGAAGCUGACUGCAGAUGCUCGCUUUGAGUCCGGUGACAUCAAAGCCACAGUUGCUGUCCUCUGUUUUAUUCUCUCAAGUGCCGCUAAGCAUAAUGUAAGCAGCGAUAAUCUGUCUAGUGAACUCCAGCAGCUGGGUCUUCCCAGAGAACAUGCUGUCUCUCUCUGUCGCUCUUAUGAAGAGAAGCAGACUGCCUUGCAGGAAACCCUGAGAGAGAACAGUCUCCGCUUAUCGCGUUUAUCCUCCGUGAACUGGCGGGUAGACCAGACUUUGAGCUCUAGUGUACUGCAGGAUGUCAAUGAGCCAGUAGUUCAUCUAAACCUGUGCGUGAAAGAUUCUGCCAGCUCCAGACCUGUCAAUAUAACUAUGUCUGCCAGUAAAUUAAGAGUUUUGUUAACAGAGAUGAAACAGGCUCUUGAGAUGACAAACUCCCUGAACUGACCUCAAAUUUGCUCAGUAAUUGAAAAGUCAGCAGGAAUACAGUAGACUACAAGGCCUUGAAAAGAAGAAGAACACUGAUGCUUCUAGAACAGUGGUCCGCAGGUUGAAGACCACUGUUCUAGACUAUACAGGCUUUCAUGCCAUACUGUGCAACGUGUACACAUCCAGUGCGUUCCCUUGGGAUAUAGAUUUUCAGCCAGACAUCUUACACAGUUCUGGAUGGAAGAUGGUUCCUGAAGAUGAGCAGAAGGCAACUUUUUGUUUAGCAUAUGCAUCCUAAAUAAAUAAUCUUGCUUGAUAGACAUCUGCACUUCCAUAUACUUUUAAUGUUCUAUUCAAAUCAAGAAUAUAAAUAAUAUAAAGUGUGAAAAAAGGCAUUUCAUUGUCUCUCUUAUCUUUGUCAUUGUCAAUAUGUGCACAUCAUUUCUCAUACAAUACUAUUUGUUAUAGCUUCAAAUAUUUAAUAUUUGUUACUGUUUUACAGUUUAAUACAAUGUACAAUUCUGCUUUCAAUAAAAUGGUUUAUUGAAACUGAAUAAAAUGUUUAGAGAAAUUUACUUACUAGCUUUUGUUGUUAGAUUAACCUAAAGCAGUGGUCUGCAAAUUGUAAGCCUCCAGAUGUUGCUAAACUAAAACUCUCUGCAUGCCCAGAUUUGACCAUAUAUAACACUUAGCAAUGCAUUAUGUAUGGUAAAAUCUUCAUCCUCGGGGGACGUUUCUGCCCGCAGGGAUGGUAAGAAUAUGAA